AGUCGAACGAAGUAGCAAUACUUAGUGGCAGACGGGUGAGUAACAUGUGGGUAUCUUCCCUUUGGUGAGGAAUAACACGAGGAAACUUGUGCUAAUACCUCAUAAGUCUUUACGGAGAAAGCUUUAUGCGCCAAUGGAUGAGCCCGCACUUGAUUAGUUUGUUGGUGGGGUAAUGGCCUACCAAGACUUUGAUCAAUAGCUGAUUUGAGAGGAUGAUCAGCCACAUUGGGACUGAGACACGGCCCAAACUCCUACGGGAGGCAGCAGUAGGGAAUCUUGCACAAUGGAGGAAACUCUGAUGCAGCGAUGCCGCGUGAGUGAAGAAGGCCCUUGGGUUGUAAAGCUCUUUCGUCGGGGAAGAAAAUGACUGUACCCGAAUAAGAAGGUCCGGCUAACUUCGUGCCAGCAGCCGCGGUAAUACGAAGGGACCUAGCGUAGUUCGGAAUUACUGGGCUUAAAGAGUUCGUAGGUGGUUAAAAAAGUUGGUGGUGAAAUCCCAGAGCUUAACUCUGGAACUGCCAUCAAAACUUUUUAGCUAGAGUAUGAUAGAGGAAAGCAGAAUUUCUAGUGUAGAGGUGAAAUUCGUAGAUAUUAGAAAGAAUACCAAUUGCGAAGGCAGCUUUCUGGAUCAUUACUGACACUGAGGAACGAAAGCAUGGGUAGCGAAGAGGAUUAGAUACCCUCGUAGUCCAUGCUGUAAACGAUGUGUGUUAGACGUUGGAAAUUUAUUUUCAGUGUCGCAGCCGAAAGCAUAAACACACCGCCUGGGGAGUACGACCGCAGGUUAAACUCCAAAUGAAUUGACGGGGACCCGC
rnacentral:rRNA from 1 species